rnacentral:rRNA from 1 species
CCUACGGGAGGCAGCAGUGGGGAAUAUUGGGCAAUGGGCGCAAGCCUGACCCAGCAACGCCGCGUGAAGGAAGAAGGCUUUCGGGUUGUAAACUUCUUUUCUCAGGGACGAAGAAAGUGACGGUACCUGAGGAAUAAGCCACGGCUAACUACGUGCCAGCAGCCGCGGUAAUACGGAGGUGGCAAGCGUUAUCCGGAUUUAUUGGGUGUAAAGGGCGUGUAGGCGGGUGCGCAAGUCAGAUGUGAAAACUCAGGGAUCAACCCUGAGCCUGCAUUUGAAACUGUGUUUCUUGAGUGCUGGAGAGGCAAUCGGAAUUCCGUGUGUAGCGGUGAAAUGCGUAGAUAUACGGAGGAACACCAGUGGCGAAGGCGGAUUGCUGGACAGUAACUGACGCUGAGGCGCGAAAGCGUGGGGAGCAAACAGGAUUAGAUACCCCUGUAGUC